rnacentral:rRNA from 1 species
CCCUUAGAGUUUGAUCCUGGCUCAGGACGAACGCUGGCGGCGCGCCUAACACAUGCAAGUCGAACGAGAGAUGAGGAGCUUGCUCUUCAAAUCGAGUGGCGAACGGGUGAGUAACGCGUGAGGAACCUGCCUCAAAGAGGGGGACAACAGUUGGAAACGACUGCUAAUACCGCAUAAGCCCACGGCUCGGCACCGAGCAGAGGGAAAAGGAGUGAUCCGCUUUGAGAUGGCCUCGCGUCCGAUUAGCUAGUUGGUGAGGUAACGGCCCACCAAGGCGACGAUCGGUAGCCGGACUGAGAGGUUGAACGGCCACAUUGGGACUGAGACACGGCCCAGACUCCUACGGGAGGCAGCAGUGGGGAAUAUUGCACAAUGGGGGAAACCCUGAUGCAGCGACGCCGCGUGGAGGAAGAAGGUCUUCGGAUUGUAAAC